rnacentral:rRNA from 1 species
GAUGAACGCUGGCGGCGUGCUUAACACAUGCAAGUCGAACGGAAAGGCCCAAGCUUGCUUGGGUACUCGAGUGGCGAACGGGUGAGUAACACGUGGGUGAUCUGCCCUGCACUUCGGGAUAAGCCUGGGAAACUGGGUCUAAUACCGGAUAGGACCACUUCUUGGAUGUUGUGGUGGAAAGUUUUUUCGGUGUGGGAUGAGCUCGCGGCCUAUCAGCUUGUUGGCGGGGUAAUGGCCUACCAAGGCGUCGACGGGUAGCCGGCCUGAGAGGGUGUACGGCCACAUUGGGACUGAGAUAAGGCCCAGACUCCUACGGGAGGCAGCAGUGGGGAAUAUUGCACAAUGGGCGCAAGCCUGAUGCAGCGACGCCGCGGGGGGGAUGACGGCCUUCGGGUUGUAAACUCCUUUCGCUAGGGACGAAGCGUUUUGUGACGGUACCUGGAGAAGAAGCACCGGCUAACUACGUG